GUACUUGCCGUGGCAGCACAUAUACUAAAAUUGGAACAUACAGAGGAGAGUAGCGUGUACCCUGCUCACGGAUGACCUACAAAUUCCUGAAGAGUUCCAUGUUAUU
ensembl:snRNA U6 U6 spliceosomal RNA